rnacentral:rRNA from 1 species
AGUGAACGCUGGCGGCGUGCUUAACACAUGCAAGUCGAACGAGAACGGGUUAUAGCUUGCUAUAAUUGUCAGCUAAGUGGCGCACGGGUGAGUAAUGUAUAGGUAAUAUGCCUCUUACUAAGGGAUAACAAAUGGAAACGUUUGCUAAUAACUUAUACUCCUUAUUAACAGAAGUUAAUAAGGGAAAGAUUUAUUGGUAAGAGAUUAGCCUGUAUUGUAUCAGUUAGUUGGUGGGGUAAUGGCUUACCAAGACUAUGACACAUAACUGGUUUGGGAGGAUGAUCAGUCACACUGGAACGGAGACACGGUCCAGACUCCUACGGGAGGCAGCAGUGGGGAAUAUUGCACAAUGGACGAAAGUCUGAUGCAGCAACGCCGCGUGGAGGAUGACACAUUUCGGUGCGUAAACUCCUUUUAUAUGAGAAGAUAAUGACGGUAUUAUAUGAAUAAGCACCGGCUAACUCCGUGCCAGCAGCCGCGGUAAUAC